UUCUGAAUCCUUAUCGCGUGCCAGUGCCUAAUCUUCCUUCUUCUCCCGCAUCUGUACCACACUAAAAAAAAAACAUAUUAAGCCUAAAAGGGUUACGCUUCAUCUCACUCUCCUCUCCAUCCAAGACUUGCUCCCAUCUCUUUCAAGGAUUCUUGGAAGAAGACCCGUUUUCUUUUCGGACAUUAAAGUUUUAUUGUCUAAAUUUCCCCGGUCAUCUUGCAUGUCCGACGGUUAGAUAAUAAGCUUUCUUGAAUGAAAGAAUUAUCACGGUGAAUUGCCGAUUCUCGUUGA